GGAGGUGUAUAUGUAUUGCCCAUGAAUCUCUUACUUGGAGCCCUAGUUUUCCUCUCCGCUUGUUUCUUUUCAUUACUUAGAUUUUUAGCUUUCUUUGCUCUAUCAGCUAAUACUACGAACUCUCUUAUUUCUAGGAUUCCAAUCAAUAGUUUAACAUCCUCGUUUAGUCCUUCCUUGAAGUGUUUGUACAUUUUUACUUUAUUCUAGACCCAUUCUUGGGCAUACUGGCUCAAUCAAACAAACACUCAUUCGUAUUCCGACCCAGUUUAUUCCCCUUUCUU
rnacentral:lncRNA from 1 species